CUCGCAUCUGGAGGACCAGUACCAUCUCUACUAUCCUGUAUCCUUAGACGGGGAUUGUACCGUCCACGCGUAAUACAGCAGAGCUCUUAUAUAGCUCUACCCCAUGUGAGUGGUUUUCCUACAGCUAUUUAGCUAACACCUUGCACUUUACUAAAUUGUAUUGCACUAUUAUUGUUUCUCUGUUUUAUCAUUUUGAGGUAUUUACCAGCCCUCCCUUCUUCAGGUGUAUGUACGUAUGAUUUUGGGUGCAGUAUAUGCCAUAUUCUAUUUCUGUUUCACCAAUACACAAGAUUUUGGGAAUCCUUGUAUUGUAUACAGC